rnacentral:lncRNA from 1 species
CUCAGUAUUUAGAAGCAAAAAUUACCCUUAAGAAAAACAACCGCAAAUGCAACACAGGCUACACAGAUGAGAAAAUGGGGCUUGCAGAGCUCAAACCAUUACACCAUUCAGAAGCUGGCUUUGGUAUUACUUCAAGUUAUUCAAAACAGUCACCACUUGCUGAGCCUCUAAUGUCUCAUCUGUUGAAUGGAUUUCAAGAGAGAAGGCUGAAAAGGAAGGUGACUGGAAUAUUAAGAACUGUGAGAUAUUCUGAGGAAACUCUAAUUUGUAAAUUGGUAGAAAUGCCAGUAAUUUGUUGGGAAUUGAAGACCCUCUGUAUUCAAGAGCGAAGCUUGGCAGCUGUGCACUGUUGUUUUAUAAAUCAAUAUUACAUCUG